rnacentral:rRNA from 1 species
GUCUUUUUGAAAUUUAAUAGAAAGUCUGACCUGCCCGGUGAUUAAUUUAACGGCCGCGGUAUACUGACCGUGCAAAGGUAGCAUAAUCAUUAGUCUUUUAAAAGAGGGCUGGAAUGAAAGGUUUGACGAAGUAUUGACUGUCUCAUCUUAUUUGAAAUUAAAACUUAACUUUUUAGUCAAAAGGCUUAAAUUUUAUUGGAAGACGAGAAGACCCUAUAGAGCUUUAUAUUAUUUAUUUUGAUUAUUAUAUAUAUAAUUUUUGAUUAAAAUACUUAUUGUUUUGUUGGGGUGACAAGAAAAUAAAAUUAACUUUUUUAUUUAUUUAACAUUAAUAUAUGAUUAUUUGAUCCAUUAUUAUUGAUUAUUAGAUUAAGUUACCUUAGGGAUAACAGCGUAAUCCUCCCCCAGAGUUCAUAUUUACGGGUAGGGCUUGCGACCUCGAUGUUGGAUUAAGAUAAUAACUAGGUGUAGCCGCUUAGUUUAUAGGUCUGUUCGACCUUUAAAUUCUU